AAAUGCGUAGAUAUUAGGAGGAACACCAGUGGCGAAGGCGGCUUGCUGGACGACAACUGACGCUGAGGCGCGAAAGCGUGGGGAGCAAACAGGAUUAGAUACCCCUGGUAGUCCACGCUGUAAACGAUGAAUACUAGGUGUGGGAGGACUGACCCCUUCCGUGCCGCAGUUAACACAAUAAGUAUUCCACCUGGGGAGUACGACCGCAAGGUUGAAACUCAAAGGAAUUGACGGGGGCCCGCACAAGCAGUGGAUUAUGUGGUUUAAUUCGACGCAACGCGAAGAACCUUACCAGGAUUUGACAUCCAACUAACGAAGUAGAGAUACAUUAGGUGCCCUUCGGGGAAAGUUGAGACAGGUGGUGCAUGGUUGUCGUCAGCUCGUGUCGUGAGAUGUUGGGUUAAGUCCCGCAACGAGCGCAACCCCUAUUGUUAGUUGCUACGCAAGAGCACUCUAGCGAGACUGCCGUUGACAAAACGGAGGAAGGCGGGGACGACGUCAAAUCAUCAUGCCCCUUAUAUCCUGGGCUACACACGUAAUACAAUGGUGGUAAACAGAGGGAAGCAAAACAGCGAUGUGGAGCAAAUCCCUAAAAGCCAUCUCAGUUCGGAUUGCAGGCUGCAACUCGCGAUGCAUGAAGCUGGAA
rnacentral:rRNA from 1 species